rnacentral:pre_miRNA from 12 species
AUUUGUGAAAGUGUUAGCGUUGUUCGCUUUAGCUGGUUGAUUUCGGGUCAAAUUGUCAUUAACUAUCAUUUGGUCCCCUUCAACCAGCUGUAGUUGGCAUCUGCUGUGCUUUCCUAUCUAC